CUACACCACAGCUCACGGCAACGCCGGAUCGUUAACCCACUGAGCGAGGCCAGGGACCGAACCGCAACCUCAUGGUUCCUAGUCGGAUUCGUUAACCACUGCGCCACGACGGGAACUCCAAAGGGCUUAAUUUAUUUGAGGAACCUGGUUUGAGAAAGUCAGUCUAGUAGAGCAGGUUGGAGUGGAGUGGUGGGGGCGGCGAUAGAGAGCUGGGAUGCCUUCGAGUGCCCAACAGGGAUUUCAGGUGUGCUUUCUGGAAGAAAUGAAGUCUGAUAGGAAAGUAAGCUCUAACCACAUGAAGAGUAGGGAAGAGAGACCUGAUGGAAAGGAGAGCCUAGUCCGCUCUAAAUCCUAAAUGUUAUUUACUAGCUGGAACGGAGGCUGUGAGGGGGAAAGGAGUCCUUGUCAGCCUCGUCUGGGGCUCCUUCUCACUGGGGACUGGCAGUGCCAGUUGUGGACUUGAAGACCCAGAUCCUGCUGUGUGAAUAUUAACAUGAGCUGGAUACUGUUGGAGUCCUUGGUACACAUUUCUUUUCCUGAAGCCGCUGGUGACGUGAGGUUUGUAACACACUAUGGUGGAGCAUCUUCAGUCUCUAAACAUCAUAGUCUCAGCUACUCUGGGGUAAGGUCUGGUUGUCUUUUGACAGUGAAGAGGUUGAGCCUUGGCAGCCUGAGUAUAUUGCUUUGGGCCUUCUGUCUGUCCGCUUUAAUCCAUGCUUAGUGCUGGGUGGGGUAUUCCUUUUAGGGAAGUCUGGUUCCUUGCAACUCAAAGUGUGGUCUGUACACUGGCAAUAUUGCAGAAUCUUGGGCUCUACCCCAAGAUCCACUGAAUGCGAAUCUGCAUUUUAACAAGAUUCCCAGGUGCAUGAGCAUUUAAUUUUGAGAAACCAUCAUGCGAUGAUUAAAGAAUUCUUUAACUCUUCUAUUCUUUUAAAAUAAAAAUUGCUUUGCACUAUAGAGAAAGGAAGAAUGUAUAUAUGACACUUUUAGAGCUGGUCUUGGAGGAGAGUCAUGAGUGCAGGGUAACUGGUUGGGGCUGCUGAGGUUUGAAGUAAUGAUUUCCUUGUUUUAGCAGAGUAGACUCUGGACUCCCCCUUACCGCCCCGCCCCAGCCACUUCCCUGGUUAGUCUAGCAAAUGAAGGACAGAGAGAUUAUUCUUAUAGUUGUGGUUGGAAAAACCCCCCCACCAAUUAGUUUAUUGAAAAAAGAUAGAUUUCAGUCUAUAUCUUGAGUUGUUUUUAUGCCAGUAAGUUUUCUAUAACCCUCUUUCUUCCCCAUUUUAGGAGAUCGUUUUAUAUUAAGUUCAAACAACCAUGUCAUUCCUUAUUAGCCUUCAGUUUCAUUCAUUUUUUUCCUAAAGCAUUUUACCUCUUAUACUGUGUUAAAACAGGUUUUUAUGAUGCAGGUUUUCUUUUUUCUCAAAUCUUUAAUUGAGACCUGAUUUUAGUAGUUUGCAGCAUGUUAUACAAGUCUUUUUGAAAAGUAAAUUAGAGAAUGUUGAAAAAUUAUUUUAAUGUACAGGAUUUUGUAUUUUGAAAUAAUUCAGAGUAUGAAACAGCUCCUAAUAACUUGAGCAUUAUUAUUCUUUCUGUCCUAUGCUUUUGUAAUAUCAUAUGUUAUUUCAUCAGAUGGGAUUGGAAAGAAAAAGAAGAAUAUAGCUUAAAGGGUAAAGAACUAGAAGAAACAAAUUUAAACAAAAGCAGUCAAACUGUUUAAAUGUUUUUAUUUGAAGUUUAUCAAAAGGAUGUACUAUUUUUAAAUAAAUAAGGCACUCAUAUUAUCAAAAUAGUUUAUUAUUUAUAAUUGGAAUUCUCUUUUUAUUCUGUUAUUUUCUUGACUUUGGUAAGAGAAGGUUAGAUUAUACCAAAAAUGAUUAAUUUUUAAAGGUAAAAUUCACAUAACAUAAAAUUAACAUUUUACUCAUUUAAAAGGAUGCAGUUCAGUGGUUUUAAUAUAUUUGCAAUGUUAUAUAACCAUCACCACUGUCUUAUUCCAGAACAUUCUCAAUUCCUAGAAGAAACCCUGUUCCCAUUAAGUAGUUAUUCUACCUAGAACCUGACAACCACAGUCCUCUCGUCUGCAUAGAUUUCUCUCUUCUGGGCAUUCCAGUUGUAGACACUUCCCAUUCUCUGUCCUGAGCCAUCUUCUCCAGAGAGGCCUUUAUGUACACUCAGAGUUUAAACUGGCCCUGCUCUUUGGGUGAAUUGCCACCGUCCACUCCUUUACUCAGCGUUUUUGGAUUGGCCGCUUUGUGCUUGGCACUAGACUAGGGCCAGGAUGCAAAGGUGAACGCAUUGUGACUGUUCUCGACUAACUUGCAGGCCCGUCUGAAAUCAGGUAUGUAAACAGAGCACCCGUAGUGCUGUUUGAUAUGUUCCUUAACAGAGAUUCGAACACAGAGGCCAGAGCUCAGAGGAGGGGAGGGGACAGCUCUGCCUAAGGGAGUUAGUUCAGUUUCUUAGAACAGAUGCCAUUUAAAUUCCAGUUUAAAAGGAGAGUUUGCCAAGUGAAAAUUCAGGAGAGAGGAAAAUAUUUUAGGCAAGGGAACUGUAUGUUUGAAGGAAUCUAAGCAUGUAUUCCUCCCCAAGCUAAGCUGGUGAGGGCAAGAGUUGUGUUUUAUUUAUGUUUAUAGUCAUGGCAGCCUGGAAGGAACAUGGGCUUUUUGAGUUAGAUUGGGGUCCACAUUCUAGACCCUUUUGACAUUCAGAGGCCUCAUAUAUAAAUAAGAGUUCCGUUUUUUGGUAAAAAUUAACGAGCUACAGUCACCUAAAGUAGUGUCCGGCAAGUAGGUGCUUUUAAAAUGUGAGUUUCGUUUUUUCACUUUCUUUCCCUUGAUCUAGCUACCCAGUGACCGACGUACAGUGGGUGGGGAGUAACUACUGGAACAGUGUUAAGUGCUUCCAAACAGUAUGAGAAAAGUGACUGAUACUGUUUCUUUUGAUGUAAAAUUUUGU